UAAGAGGUCUAGCCUGCCCAGUGACUCUGUUCAACGGCCGCGGUAUUCUAACCGUGCAAAGGUAGCGUAAUCACUUGUUCUUUAAAUAAGGACUAGUAUGAAAGGCACCACGAGGGUUACACUGUCUCCUCUUUCUAAUCAGUGAAACUAAUCUCCCCGUGAAGAAGCGGGGAUCUAUAUAUAAGACGAGAAGACCCUAUGGAGCUUUAAAUUAUGAUAACAAUUGCUACAUAUCUUUAAUUCCAGAAAAUUAACCCACUACCUUAGCACUAUGAUUAUUAAUUUUAGGUUGGGGUGACCGCGGAGCAUAAAAUAACCUCCACAUUGAAAUAGAACCUAAAUUCUAAGCAAGAAAUCACAACUUUAUGCAUCAAUAAAUUGACAUCAAUUGACCCAAUAUUUUGACCAACGAACCAAGUUACCCUAGGGAUAACAGCGCAAUCCACUUCAAGAGCUCAUAUCGACAAGUGGGUUUACGACCUCGAUGUUGGAUCAGGGUAUCCUAGUGGUGCAGCCGCUACUAAAGGUUCGUUGUUCAACGAUUAAAA
rnacentral:rRNA from 1 species